GACAGAGGAUGCAAGCGUUAUCCGGAAUGAUUGGGCGUAAAGCGUCUGUAGGUGGCUUUUUAAGUCCGCCGUCAAAUCCCAGGGCUCAACCCUGGACAGGCGGUGGAAACUACCAAGCUGGAGUACGGUAGGGGCAGAGGGAAUUUCCGGUGGAGCGGUGAAAUGCGUAGAGAUACGGAAAAGAACACCAACGGCGAAAGCAUCUGCUGGGCCGACACUGACACUGAGAGACGAAAGCUAGGGGAGCGAAUGGGAUUAGAACCUCCGAGUCAGAUCCAA
rnacentral:rRNA from 1 species